CCUACGGGUGGCAGCAGUGAGGAAUAUUGGUCAAUGGUCGGGAGACUGAACCAGCCAAGCCGCGUGAGGGAUGAAGGUACAGAGUAUCGUAAACCUCUUUUGUCAGGGAACAAAGGCGGGGACGAGUCCCCGGAUGAGUGUACCUGAAGAAAAAGCAUCGGCUAACUCGGUGCCAGCAGCCGCGGUAAUAUGGGGGAUGCGGGCGUUAUCCGGAUUUAUUGGGGUUAAAGGGUGCGCAGGCGGUCUGUAAAGUCAGCGGUCAAAGCCCGGGGACCACCCCCGGCCCGCCGUUGAAACUGGCAGUCUCGAGUAGGAGAGAAGUAUGCGGAAUGCGCGGUGUAGCGGUGAAAUGCGUAGAUAUCGCGCAGAACUCCGAUUGCGAAGGCGGCAUGCCGGCUCCACACUGACGCUGAGGCACGAAAGCGUGGGUAUCGAACAGGAUUAGAUACCCUAGUAGUC
rnacentral:rRNA from 1 species